rnacentral:rRNA from 1 species
UACGUAGGGUGCGAGCGUUGUCCGGAUUUAUUGGGCGUAAAGAGCUCGUAGGCGGUUUGUCGCGUCGGCCGUGAAAUCUCCACGCUUAACGUGGAGCGUGCGGUCGAUACGGGCAGACUUGAGUUCGGUAGGGGAGACUGGAAUUCCCGGUGUAGUGGUGGAAUGCGUAGAUAUCGGGAGGAACACCAGUGGCGAAGGCGGCUCUCUGGACCGGUGCUGACGCUCAGGCGCGAAAAGCGUGGGGGAGCGAGUCGG